rnacentral:ribozyme from 1 species
AAGGAAGAAUUAAACAAACAAACAAAAAACUCGACAAGGCACAUCGGCACAUCUUGAGAGGAAAAGAAAAAAGAUAUCUUUGCUUGCAGCCAUUUCACUCUGAUUCUUUUGUUGAAUACGCUACUUGCUUCUUGUUCUUUUUUGUAUUUUUC